CGGGGCGUAGCGCAGCCCGGUUAGCGCACUAGUCUGGGGGACUAGAGGUCGGAGGUUCAAAUCCUCUCGCCCCGACCA
rnacentral:tRNA from 1 species